GGACAAAGUCGAGCGCUGAUUCCGGGGUAGUAAUAUUCCGGGGUCGGAGCGGCGCAAGGGUGCGUAACACGUGGGUAAUCUGCCGUGAAGUUUGGGAUAACUUGCUGAAAGGCGAGCUAAUACCGGAUGUGACCGCUGGGAGGCAUCUCCCGGUGGUUAAAGUUGGGGACCGUAAGGCCUGACGCUUCAUGAUGAACCCGCGGCCUAUCAGCUAGUUGGUGAGGUAACGGCCCACCAAGGCUAAGACGGGUAGCUGGUCUGAGAGGACGACCAGCCAUACUGGAACUGAGACACGGUCCAGACACCUACGGGUGGCAGCAGUCGAGAAUUUUUCACAAUGGGCGCAAGCCUGAUGGAGCGACGCCGCGUGGGGGAUGAAUGGCUUCGGCCCGUAAACCCCUGUCAUUCGCGAUCAAACCUUAUUAUUUAAAAGAUGAUAAGCUGAUAGUAGCGGAAGAGGAAGGGACGGCUAACUCUGUGCCAGCAGCCGCGGUAAUACAGAGGUCCCGAGCGUUGUUCGGAUUCACUGGGCGUAAAGGGUGCGUAGGUGGUGGGGUAAGUCGGAUGUGAAAUCUCCGAGCUCAACUCGGAAACUGCAUUGGAAACUACCCUGCUAGAGGGUCGGAGGGGGGACUGGAAUACUUGGUGUAGCAGUGAAAUGCGUAGAUAUCAAGUGGAACACCAGUGGCGAAGGCGAGU
rnacentral:rRNA from 1 species